rnacentral:rRNA from 1 species
UACAGAGGGUGCGAGCGUUGUCCGGAAUCACUGGGCGUAAAGGGCGCGUAGGCGGCUCGGUCAGCGUGCGGUGAAAGCCCGGGGCUCAACCCCGGGUCGGCCGUGCGAACUGCUGGGCUGGAGCACUGUAGAGGCAGGUGGAAUUCCCGGUGUAGUGGUGGAAUGCGUAGAUAUCGGGAGGAACACCAGUGGCGAAGGCGGUUGCCUGGGGCUUUGCUGACGCUGAGGCGCGAAAGCGUGGGGAGCGAUCCGG